GGGCGUCUAGCUCAUAUGGUAGAGCGCGCGCUUAGCAUGCGCGAGGCGCACGGUUCGAUUCCGUGGUCGUCCA
rnacentral:tRNA from 1 species